CGGGGUGGGGCUGCAUAAGAACUCCCCAAGGAUGAGAUGGUGGGAGGAGAGAGAGACAGCUUUCAAAGGAAGUAGUGAAGCUGAGCUGGCAGUGCCACAUAUACUCACGAUGGCCUGGUACUGUGUCGGACCGAGAUGACUAAACCUUGAUACCUGUAAAUCAAGGCGUCAGCCACUGUUGGACAACACAAAAAUGCUGUUGUCAGUCACAGCCUCAGGAAGUCUGAGUGAGGUGCUGUCCCAGGAGCAGCUGAAAUUGGCAUCUCUCUUUGAGAAGGCUGCUCCCUGUGCUUGGUCCAAGGCACAUCCUGUCUCUCCAGUUCGGGUUGGCCUGUCCCCUGGAGUCAGUGAUGACUGGAGGUGAAGGUGAUCGCUGAGAAACUGGUUUGUCCACUCUUGAGAGUCUGGAAAAGAGCUCUCCAUGCCUUCGUCCAUCCACGAACAAGCAAGACAAUAUCUCCUGAGAAAUACCAAGAGGAGUGUCCAGUGUGGGGACAUUUCCGGGGAAGGAGUGCCUCAGGGUUUCCCGAAGGUCAAGAGACAGAUUGGCGAGAGUCACCGAGGAGAUGGAGGUGUUCAGGGAGGUGAGGACCACAAACAGCGACAUUGUAAGAGUACCGUGACUGACGCUGAGUCCCACCAUUAGGCGUGAAGGAAGACUCUGCCACUUAGACAUCUCCCUGCAUCUAGCCAGCACCGUUCCUGGCACACAGCAGCUCGGUAAAUGUGUGUUGAUUGAUUGAAUAAACAUUUGACAUUGACAGGCAUGUCUCGGGUUAUGUUCAGUCUGGGACUUUCUUAAGGCACAAGAUUUGCCCUCGAGGAAUGAAAGAAAUCCCUUUCAUUUUUAAAUUCUCCCUCUUUUAACCCUGGGUUGAUUUUUCUUAAAUGUGCUCCUAGGAAUUUGAUUCCAAGCAAUUGGCUCCAAGUGAGAGAGAGAGAGAAAAGGGGUUUCGAGUGAAAUUGAGAAAAGGAGAGACAUUCUGGGAUCCAGAAGCCAAGGCCAGGAUAGGGAUUUCUGUGGGUUCCCAGGACUGGGAGGAAGGGAACUGUGCGGCAAUCUUCCCCGAAGACCCAGGCAGCCGCUUGGAGUUCUCUGUGCCUCUUUCUGAUUUGUAAAUAGUUGAGAUCUGGGGCUGUUCACAAAGCCACACCUCUUGUUUGUGCCUGAGAAUUGCUGGAGCAGACCAGCUUCAAACUGAGAAGCAACAAGGAACAGAUAAGCAAGAAGAAGUAACAUUUGUUUCUGAGACAUGACAACAGCAGGGGUGUUCAUAGCUUAGUGGCCAAGGGCAGAGUGGCUGGGGUCAGCGAUGGGUCACACCCUGACCUACACCUUACACCCAAAACUAAAUGCAUCCUGUCAAGAAAAGUGCUCAAAUAUGCCUGGUGCAUAAUAAGUGCUCAAUAAAUAUCAACUA